rnacentral:rRNA from 1 species
AACGAACGCUGGCGGCGCGUCUUAAGCAUGCAAGUCGAACGGCAAGAUUGGUGCUUGCACCGAUCCUAGAGUGGCGGACUGGUGAGUAACGCGUGGGUGACGUACCCUAAGGAUGGGGAUAGCUGGUAGAAAUAUCAGAUAAUACCGAAUAUCCUCACUGUUGUUAGAGGACAGUAAGGAAAGGAGCUUUGGUUUCGCCUAAGGAUCGGCCCGCGUACUAUUAGCUAGUUGGUGAGGUAACGGCUCACCAAGGCGACGAUAGUUAUCCGGCCUAAGAGGGUGAACGGACACAUUGGGACUGAGAUACGGCCCAGACUCCUACGGGAGGCAGAAGCUAAGAAUAUUCCGCAAUGGAGGAAACUCUGACGGAGCGACGCCGCGUGGAUGAUGAAGGCCGGAAGGUUGUAAAAUCCUUUUAAGCAAGAAGAAUAAACUUUACAGGGAAUGGUAGAGUGGUGACGGUAUUGCUUGAAUAAGCAACGGCUAAUUACGUGCCAGCCGCCGCGGUAACAC